rnacentral:rRNA from 1 species
AUUGAACGCUGGCGGCAUGCUUUACACAUGCAAGUCGAACGGCAGCGCGGGCUUCGGCCUGGCGGCGAGUGGCGAACGGUGAGUAAUACAUCGGAACGUGCCCAGUAGUGGGGGAUAGCUCGGCGAAAGCCGGAUUAAUACCGCAUACGACCUGAGGGUGAAAGCGGGGGAUCUUCGGACCUCGCGCUAUUGGAGCGGCCGAUGGCAGAUUAGCUAGUUGGUGGGGUAAAGGCCUACCAAGGCGACGAUCUGUAGCUGGUCUGAGAGGACGACCAGCCACACUGGGACUGAGACACGGCCCAGACUCCUACGGGAGGCAGCAGUGGGGAAUUUUGGACAAUGGGCGAAAGCCUGAUCCAGCAAUGCCGCGUGUGUGAUGAAGGCCUUCGGGUUGUAAAGCACUUUUGGCGGGAACGAAAAGGACUGUGCCAAUACCACGGUUCGAUGACGGUACCCGCAGAAUAAGCACCGGCUAACUACGUG